rnacentral:rRNA from 1 species
GACGAACGCUGGCGGCGUGCCUAAUACAUGCAAGUUGAGCGCUGAAGGUUGGUACUUGUACCACCUGGAUGAGCAGCGAACGGGUGAGUAACGCGUGGGGAAUCUGCCUUUGAGCGGGGGACAACAUUUGGAAACGAAUGCUAAUACCGCAUAAAAACUUUAAACACAAGUUUUAAGUUUGAAAGAUGCAAUUGCAUCACUCAAUGAUGAUCCCGCGUUUUAUUAGCUAGUUGGUGAGGUAAAGGCUCACCAAAGCGAUGAUACAUAGCCGAACUGAGAGGGGGAUCGGCCAAAAUGGGAAUGAGAAAAGGCUCAAACUCCUACGGGAGGGAGCAGUAGGGAAUCUUUGGCAAUGGACGAAAGUCUGAACGAGCAACGCCGCGUGAGUGAAGAAGGUUUUCGGAUUGGAAAACUCUGGUGGUAGAGAAGAAAGUUGGGGGGAGUGGAAAGCGCAUCAAGUGACGGUAACUAACCAGAAAGGGACGGCUAACUACGUG